GGAAGGCCAGCAGGCAAGAGAACAGCAGGUGUGACGGUCUGGAAGAGAUUCUGUGGGGCUGGAACAUGAAAUGUGAAGGAAUUCUGGUGAGAGAUGCGGCUGGAGAGGUUCUGCUCCGUCUGAGGAUUUUACCUAAUGCUAAAGAGAAAGAGAAGAAGUCCUCAUCAUACACUGUACAACCACACUAAAAGUAGCCAGCAGGGAAAUUGACCUAUAAGUACUCUGAGCACAUUAAGGCCUCUCACCUCUGUGGCCUCUCCCACUGCGGAGCACAGGCUCUGGAUGUGCAGGCCCAGUGGCCAUGGCUCACGGGCCCAGCCGCUCCGCAGCAUGUGGGAUCCUCCCGGACCAGAGCACGAACCUGCGUCCCCUGCAUCGGCAGGCGGACUCUGAACCACUUCGCCACCAGGGAAGCCCUAGUGAUUCAAACUUUUAAAGAAUUUUUAAGGAACAAAAUUUUGAGAAGCUUUGCAUUUUUAUUGAAUUAUUUUUCUUGAAAGAAUAUUUUUAG